AGUAGGCAUUUUCUUCUUCUUCUUAAACUUGUUGGUUUUCAUCUUGAGUCCUUUACCAGCUUCUUGACUCAUGAGGUUAAUCGAAUGACUUUCUUACUUUUUCAGUCUUGUUUCCUCCUGAAUAAGCAUACUGGACAAUUCACUAACAUUCCACUUUUUCUUAAUAGUGUUAUAGUUAAUUUGAAAAGAUCCAUACUCAGGAGGUAGCAAGUUUAGGAUGAACUAUACGAAGGAGUCUUCCACUGUCAUCCCUGAAGUCUUUAGCCUUGCUGUAAUGUUAGUCAUUUCGAUGAUAUGCUCUUGCAUACUCCAUAACCCAUUGAACUUCUUGAUUGUGAGUUCUACCAUUAGUGUACCAGCAAGUGACUUAUCUAUAGAAUGAAAAUGUUCUUCC
rnacentral:lncRNA from 1 species